rnacentral:rRNA from 1 species
UGGGGAAUAUUGGACAAUGGAGGAAACUCUGAUCCAGCAAUUCUGUGUGUGUGAAGAAGGUUUUAGGACUGUAAAACACUUUUAGUAGGGAAGAAAAAAAUGACGGUACCUACAGAAGAAGCAACGGCUAAAUACGUGCCAGCAGCCGCGGUAAUACGUAUGUUGCGAGCGUUAUCCGGAAUUAUUGGGCUUAAAGGGCAUCUAGGCGGUAAGACAAGUUGAAGGUGAAAACCUGUGGCUCAACCAUAGGCUUGCCUACAAAACUGUUGAACUAGAGUACUGGAAAGGUGGGUGGAACUACACGAGUAGAGGUGAAAGUCGUAGAUAUGUGUAGGAAUGCCGAUGAUGAAGAUAACUCACUGGACAGAAACUGACGCUGAAGUGCGAAAGCUAGGGGAGCAAACAGG